UGACAAUGCAUGACUCAGCCAUGCAACUACUAUCAAGCACACUCUCACAAUUCCAGAGUUCUUAGAAGCCAAGCAUCUGGCCAAUGUAUCCAAUGAAGAAAAAUGGCCCCCCAACAUGAGAAGAGCUCUACGAGAAUUUUCUGCCGUUUAAGAAUGAUCCGAUUGCUAACCUUCUGCAGCAUUGAGAAACAAAUGAAUUGAAAUGAAUACAUGGAUGAAUCAUUUGUUCAUUAAAUUACCGCACUAGAUCAGUGUGUUAUACUACUCAAAGAAGCAGCAUGAAUUUAGAAGCUCAAGAAUCCAUGGUCCUCUUAUAUUCACAGACAAGAAGCUCCUGCAACUCCCAUCUGCCUCAAUACAUAACAGCAGAAGGGAAACUACACAGAUCUUUUCUUCUAAAUUCCCCAAUUCAAGCCUCC